GCCAAGCACCAGGGUCCCCACGGGGCGACUCGGGUGGACGUCCCAAAGGAGGAACCCAAAGGCCAGCAGGAACCAGACGGGAGCAGGUCACUGCUCCGGAAGAAAACCUCCCAAGACAUGGUCGUGAGCCAGUGGCUGCCGCGGGUUGGUCAAAGCUGAGACAUGGAUGUGAAGCGGCCGUGGAUCUGUUGCCAUUGAGACGUGGUCAUCAUGCAUCUGAAGAUCAGUCUCCACCGAGGGGUGGUCAUCAGGUGGCCAAAGAUCGUUCGCCGUCAAGGCGUGGACAUGGUCAAAAGGCGGGUGAGGAUCAGUCACCCCUGAAGCGUGGUCAUCAUGCGACUGAGGAUCGGUUGGCAACAAGGCGUGGACGUGGUCAUCGAGCGACCAAGGAUUGGUCGCUGCUGAAGCGUGGUCAUCAGACGGGCAUUGUGGGGUCAGUUCCUCACCAGUCACGAACGCCACAGCACUCUUUGACUUUGUAGGUUAAGACGAGAGACUAAUCUCAUCAGACUCAAACAGAAAGAAAGAAGACUCCUGGACAGCGUCUCAACUAUUUGCUAAGUAUGUGUAAAGUUUGAAAAAAACUAUUAGUAUUGUGUGCAAUGUGGAUAGACAAUCUUCAUUCAUCAGUUUGUUAUUUGAGAAUCAUUUCAGGGUGGAUCUCCAGGAGCACAGAGGCAAGGUCUGAUUUGAACCCACGUCCUCAGAACUGUGAGGCAGGCAGAUCCAGUGGUUCAUCGUGGCACCUCUGCAUAAUAUCUUCAGAAUGUCCCAGGCAAGCUGGAGCCUAAUCGAGCUGAUCCUGGGUGGGAUGCGGGACACACCCUGAGCUGUUCGCCAGCCAGUUGCAGGGCAUAGCCGGCCUGAGACGGCCCUAAGGAUCCCUCUGGAAGAGCCGAACAAAGUGGCAUGGGAGAAGGAAGUCUACAUUUCCCAACUAAACCUGCUAUAACUACGACCUGACUCUGAAAAAGCAGAAAACAAUGGAUGGACGGAUGGAUACAUACAGUGCAUCUUUCUUUUUUUAAAUGUCCGGCUGCUACAGCAAAUACACCUCACAGAUUUGCAAAUCUAGCGAACAUGAAUGCCUCUCCUUCCAUGGCUCCUCUCCUUCCAAGCCAUGGCCCUGGAAAGAGUUCUAAUUAGAUGAGAUGCAUUGAUGCAUAUCCGGCAUAACAAGAGAGAGUCACUGAGGACUGGGUGCCUCACUGAAGUCACUCGUGUUGCUGUGGUGAUCAUAAGUAAUGUCACCUUAUAGGACGCAUUCAGGAGUCUACACAGCUGAUUAUUCUG